CACACGCACGCACGCACGCACGCACGCACGCACGCGCGCGCCAUUAUUGGACUGUCAUCCGUUUCCAAGAGAACGAUGGUUGUAACGAUAAAGGUCCCCACAGUACAAAGGAAUAAAUGAGAAAAAAGGAUGAAAAUCAAGAGAAUCAACAUGCUUUGCGGAAUGUUUUGAAUGUGUGUGCAUCAAGUGAGAAUAACUUCUCAUUAGAGCUCUGUGUCCUCAGAACUACAAAGAGCGAGUUUCUACUUCAAUCUUUUCCUCUGCUUGGAGUACAUCAGGGUCAACAUGAACAACUGGAGGUCGGAGGAUAACUUCAGGCCCCCCACCAUAUAUAGACUGCAGGAAAUUCCAUGUUUCUUCUGAAAUUUGACCAGAGUCUGCUCCUAAAAUUGUAUGUAUGCAAAAAGAAUGAUAUUUACAAACAUGAAUCUUAAUAUAGGCAUUUUCUUCCUCCUUUGUGUAUCCUCU
rnacentral:lncRNA from 1 species